AGGUUCUGAAAAGAUUAAAAGGGAAUCCUGUGAGAAUCAGGAGCUAUUCCCGUAGCUGUCAGUUCUUUACAACUUUCCGGCACCAUGUCACUGACGAUAGAAAAAUUGUUGGGAAGACGCUGGAAAGCAGGACAAGCCAGAAGACCUGCCUGCAUC
rnacentral:ncRNA from 1 species